CCUACGGGUGGCUGCAGUGGGGAAUAUUGCACAAUGGGGGAAACCCUGAUGCAGCGACGCCGCGUGAGUGAAGAAGUAUUUCGGUAUGUAAAGCUCUAUCAGCAGGGAAGAAGAAAGACGGUAGCUGACUAAGAAGCACCGGCUAACUAAGUGCCAGCAGCCGCGGUAAUACGUAGGGGGCAAGCGUUAUCCGGAUUUACUGGGUGUAAAGGGAGCGUAGACGGCUGGGCAAGUCUGAGGUGAAAGCCCAGGGCUGAACCCUGGGACUGCUUUGGAAAAUGUGGGGCUAGAGUGCUGGUGAGGUAAGUGGAAUGCCUGGUGUAGCGGUGAAAUGCGUAGAUAGUAGGAGGAACACCAGUGGCGAAGGCUGCUUACUGGGCUGUAACUGACGUUGAGGCUCGAAAGCGUGGGGAGCAAACAGGAUUAGAUACCCCUGUAGUC
rnacentral:rRNA from 1 species